rnacentral:rRNA from 1 species
UACGUAGGUGGCAAGCGUUGUCCGGAUUUACUGGGCGUAAAGAGCGCGCAGGCGGUCGUUCAAGUCGCGUGUGAAAGCCCCCGGCUCAACUGGGGAGGGUCACGCGAUACUGAUCGACUCGAAGGCAGGAGAGGGAAGUGGAAUUCCCGGUGUAGUGGUGAAAUGCGUAGAUAUGCGGAGGAACACCGAUGGCGAAGGCAAUCCCCUGGACCUGUACUGACGCUCAUGCACGAAAGCGUGGGGAGCGAACAGG